GUCCAACUUUCUAGUAUCAAAACGAUACCAGUGGACCGGGAUGCACGCGAUUGAAGUUCUUUGCCGCCUUCUAUGAUCGAAUCAGAUCAUCCUUCUCUGCAAACUGCAAUCUUUACUUCGUUUUAGAUAGCUUCACCAGUUAUUGAAUCACCUUGAAUUGAUUGGUUUAAGUCUGUGGGAUUACAAGGACUAGCAUGCAGGGACUAACAGAGACUCCUUAUGAGGGUGGAAUCUUCCAACUUGCCUUUUCUGUUCCAGAGCAGUAUCCUCUGCAACCUCCUCAAGUGCGGUUCUUAACGAAAAUAUUUCAUCCCAAUGUGCAUUUUAAGGAGAGAUAUGCCUUGAUAUCUUGAAGAAUGCAUGGAACCCAGCCUGGACACUGGUCUGUUUUUAGGGCUAUAAUUGCUCUGAUGGCACAUCCUGAACCUGAUAGCCCUUUAAAUUGCGAUUCAGAUAAGUUGAUUCAUGUGCAAUGCUUUCUAUUUUAACAUUUGAGAUUUUCUUUGAAGAGGAAAGGAAAAAUCUUCACUUUUAGAAACCAAGAAACCCUCCACUUGGAACAUGUGUUGAUAAAAAAGUUGCUGAGCAUGAGGGUUUGAAGAAACAAUUUAAAGAAUCAGUGCACCUAACCAUGGGAUGCUGAGACAAAAGGAAUAAAAGGAAAAUUAGAUAUUUAGCUAAUUGUUAAUGAAGGGCUGUAAAACAUUGAAGCUGUCCUUUUCACAGCAUUUAUCAUUUUCAUUGCCUUUACUUUGUUAAAGUUAUAGUCUCAGCAGAGAGGCCUAGAUAGGAAGGGAGUGGGAUUAUGAAGACUUGGUAUUAAUUUAGGCUCGUAUGAUAAAGUGCCAGUUGCGUGUAGAAGAAAACAUCUGCAAUAGAAUGCAUGUCUAGCUGUGAAGGAAUGAAUUUUGUAGGAGGUCUAUGGGAUUGAGACAUGAAGGGUUCUUUGUGUAUUGACUAAUUAUAAAUGAGUAGUACCUAAUUGUGUAAGUGGUGAUGGUCUACUUUUGUACAGGAAAUCUUCUACGUUCUGGUGAUAUAAGAGGUUAUCAAUCCGUGGCAAGAAUGUAUACUAGACUUGCAGCCUCAGGGAAGAAAGGGUGAAUAGAGAAGAAAAUAACAAUUAGCAGCAGGCGUGGAGCAAUGGCUGGAAUUGUGCAUGGAGAAUCAAAGCUCGUGGCCAGAAAUGGUGUGAUUUUAUCCCAAACCUGGUUGAGAUCCAAGAGGUUGAAGGAAGCACUUCAAAGAUUCAUAAAGGAAUAAGUUGAAACUUUGUAAGUUCAUUUUGAAGUUAAAGAACAAUUUGGCCAUUCCAAGUCAAUUAGGCCAAAUGUGUCUCUAUUGACGAUUCAAAUUGUGUAUUUAUAUUAACAGAUUCUUCAUCACUAAUUUAGUAGUGGGUAGUUAACCAGUAUUGGAUAGUUAUCUAGUAGUAGGUAGUGCAUAGAUCAUAGAUCCAUGCAUAGUAGUGGAUAGUGACAGAGAUCAUGGGUCUUUAUUUAGGUUUUUACUUUUUUUUUUCUUAAUUGGGCUAGGCUACCAUAGGGUAUAUAAAGCCUCUCUUUUUCCAUAUUGUGGAUAAAUUAUCAAUUAUUCAAUACAAUUACUUUAUGUGAUUCUUCUUUGAGAGCUUAAGAGAGAUCUUGAUUCUUGACAUUGCAUCACGAAUGAGAUUUGAAACUAACUUGUAUAGUUCUUAUUCUUACUGCUCUCAAAAUCAAUCAGUUAUAAGUGUUCUUAAUUGCAUAUUAAUUAAAGGUACUUUAAACUGGAAAAUUAUUUUCUAAACUAAGUCCUUUUUAUUAGGGUAUGUGUCGUUUUAGUUUCUAAUAGGCUGGGGUUCUGCAUCAAUUGAUGUCAGAGUUAGGCUUAGUGAUAAUUUCUUAACUAUUUUUUACAUCUUUAUAUUUAAUUUUGUGUUCAUUAUUGGCUGAAUAUAUCACUUUGGUUAUUUAGUGUAUAUUCUUCAAUAUUUUCGUGAUAUUUCCAUUUAGGAUACUUAUUAGAGUCGAAUUCAAUUCUUAGUUGUUGUUCAAAUCGAAUUUUACCCUAAAUUCUUAUUUAGGCUGAAUUACUAUCUUUAGUGAUUUGGUUUGUGAUUUCUUCCCUAAUUCGUAUGCUGCUGUUCUAAUACUCUUAGAAUAGUAUUUCUAGUGUUUUAUUGUCUGUAUAAAAAAAAUACUAAAAAAAAAUUCUACAACUUCGGGUCAUUGUUGAAAUUUCGUUUUAAUAUUUAUACCUACUUAUAUAAAUAAUAUUUUAUAUACCUUGAACAUAUUUCAAGGUUUGGGAUUCGAAAUACAUGUUUAGGAUAGGUUUAAGGCCAAUUUGGGUGGUAUUUUCACAAAACAGUUGUACUUAAUACUUGCUGUUUUAAGUGUCUAUUUUGUUUGCUUGCUUUGAAUUUUUUUUGUUAAGUCCAUAUUAAUAUUAGUUAACCUAAGAUUGCAUGCUUAGACAUAACUUCGUGUUAAGCACAGUCGUCUCGUCAAUUUUGAUUCCUAGUUUGUCAAUUUGGUGUCUUUCUGUUUGUUAGUUCCUUACACUUAGUUUGACAAAUUGCAUAUUGUUGAACAUCUAAUUACACUUAGCACACGAGAUUUUACUCCUGUGUACUAAAUCAAUCCGUUUGUUCAUUUUGGUCAAUUUGCUUCUAUUGUUGUUUUCUAUCUUUACUUGUUAGGUCUUCCUUUGCUUUCCUUGUUAUUUAAAUCAUUUAAGCUUGGCUUAUUGAGUUUAUAUUCUGAAGUGCAAUUUUGAGAUACCAAGUGGGUGCUUGAAAGUUAAACACGUGAGUUGAAAGAAUUGUGAAUUUUUGUACAAUAUUUGGGCAUAAUACUGGUGAUACUUCUGACCUUACGCCUGAUUUUAAAGUUAUGUAUACAACUUUUAUGGAUAGCUUUCAGAAGCUAUAUUUGAGAAUGGAUAACCUUGAGGACAACCUUAGAUCUUCAAAAGGCAAGUCCAAUCAAGGGAUGAUGAUACACACAAUCCAUCCUAUGAAGAGGA